GUCCUGCGGCUGAAAUUUGGGAAGAUUUAGGUGGAGCAGCCCUUUUGAACAAUGGUUUUUUAUCAUCGCCAUCUGGUAAAGCCAAUGCAACACACACGAAAAGUGCAGCUAUAAUCACCUAUAAAAAAAUAAACAGUUCAUUGAACAAGUUCAACGAAAAUUAUAAUUCAAUUUUCACCAUACAGCAAUCUUAGGAACGACCUACGACCUCAAACCAUCGAAACAUUAUACUAUGUCACAUCUACCUGCUCUUCUAUCAGCAAAAAGCUUAGGCGUGUGAUGGACGGCAAGACUCAUUAAAAAAAGAUGCAGGAUUUUCAUCCUUUGAUACAGCUCAAACGUAAUUAAAAAUCUUGCUGUAACCUUUCAUCACAUAAUUAAAUUUACCAUAAAAUAAACAUAAAAAAAUUCUUUAA